rnacentral:rRNA from 1 species
UACGUAGGGGGCAAGCGUUGUCCGGAUUUAUUGGGCGUAAAGAGCGUGUAGGCGGUCUGGUAGGUCCGUUGUGAAAACUCGAGGCUCAACCUCGAGACGCCGAUGGAAACCCUCAGACUAGAGUCCGGAAGAGGAGAGUGGAAUUCCGGGUGGAGCGGUGAAAUGCGUAGAGAUCCGGAGGAACACCGACGGCGUAGGCAGCGCCCUAGACGAGACCUGACGCUCAGGCACGAAAGCGUGGGGAUCAAACAGG